GCCACUGCUAUUGGGGUUCGGCUAAGCCAUGCGAGUGGAGGGCGUCCCGCAAGGGAUGGCCCCGCAGACGGCUCAGUAGCACGUCGUCAACCCACCUUAGGGUGGGGGACAACCUCGGGAAACUGAGGAUAAUCCCCCAUAGGCGGGGGAGGCUAGAAUGCGCCCCCGCUGAAAGCUCAGGCGCCCUAGGACGGGACGGCGGCCUAUCAGGUAGUUGGUGGUGUGACG
rnacentral:rRNA from 1 species